rnacentral:rRNA from 1 species
CUAACGCUGGUGGCGUGUCUUAGUCAUGCAAGUCGAACGAGAAAGUGCCCUUCGGGGCGCGAGUACAGUGGCGAACGGGUGAGUAACACGUGGGUAACCUACCUUUGAGUGGGGGACAACCCUUCUAACGAGGGGCUAAUACCGCAUAAUGCAGCGGCUCCGCAUGGAGAUUGUUGUUAAAGGGGCGGUUUCGGCCGUCCUGCUUAAAGAUGGACCCGCGGUCCAUUAGCUUGUUGGUGAGGUAAAGGCUCACCAAGGCGAAGAUGGAUAGCCGGCCUGAGAGGGUGAUCGGCCACACUGGAACUGAGAUAAGGUCCAGUCCCCUACGGGGGCCAGCAGUCUAGAAAUUUGCACAAUGGGGGAAACCCUGAUGCAGCGACGCCACGUGGAGGAUGAAGCCUCUAGGGGUGUAAACUCCUGUCAGAAGGAAAGAACGCGGAAAUUUAUUUCCGUUUGACGGUACCUUCAAAGGAAGCCCCGGCUAACUUC